GUGUGUGUGUGUGUGUGGGGGGCUUUGGGUGCAGGUGGUUUAACUUAUUUAAGAGUGGCGCAAGAGUUACAAUAAUGUGGGAGUAGGUAAAAAGUGGUGGAGAGAAAGAGACAAUGGAAGAAGCAUUGAUUCUCGAUAUUAUGGACUUCAAAGUCAAUAAUAGGUUACCUGAUGCCGGCCUAACAAAACAAUAGAGAUGCACGAUAUAAAGAAGAUAACACUUUGCUCAAGGAUGGAGAGCUUCAUUACGUUUGUAGAAGACGGAAGGAGAGCGAGCGUUUGGAUAAGGUAGUCACCUCAGCUGCCAAGGCCAACAUAAUAUUCGAAGAAAUGCUCUGCAGUUCUAUCUGUGGUCACUACGAUGUGGAGAAAAACGCACAAUGCGGUGAUCAUCCGAAACGACUGGCCUGGCAUGGAGGCGGACAUCCGCAAAUGGACUACAGAAAGGGAAGUCUGGGGCCCGCUGCUUGAGCUGCUCCCCCCGUGACCCAACCCUGGAUAUAUAUAUGAAGAUGAGAUGAGGAGAGAUGACAAUUGACUUCAGGUGGCCCAGUGUCCUGAGUGCCAAAGAAAUCAGGCCAGUCUCAAAGAAAGUACCCACUACUGUACCACCAGAGGUAACAACCAUUUGAGCUGGUGGGGAGGAACCUCAUGAGGCACAGUUUAACAGAGUGGUAAUCAUUACAUUUGUGUGAUGGUUGAUUUUUCACCAAGUGGGCAGCGGCUACCCUCUGAAGAGUAACUCUGCAGAGGAGGUGAGCAAUUGUAUUCUUGAUACAACUUUAAGAACCAGGUAGCUAGAGAACCUUCCGUAUAUCUUAGGGAUAAGGAACUGCAGCCUGCAAUUUUCAGCAUCAGGACCAAGAACUAGUUAACAAAAAAGUAUAGCCCAUCUUUUGUUGUUGUUUGGCAGGAAGGCAAAUACCCAUCUUAUGUGCCACAGAACCUAAGGUAAGUGGCUCUAUUUGUAUAGGUCGUCAGGGAGUGUGGUCAUUAUUACUUGACUAAAUAGGUGAGAUUUUAACACCACUUGGUAUCUUUGUACUUUAGGUGACACUGAGAAGGUGGAGCGUUUGCUGAUGAGGGAGGCGGUUUUUAAAGGACUCUCAAAGCAGACAAACGUACAUAAAACUAAAAUACAGUCCUACAAGCGUCCAAAAGAAGCAGGAGAAAAUCCGUAAACUGAAGCUGGAGAUCGUGUGCUCAAAAAAGGUGGAGGAACGCAGUAAAAAGGGGUCUCGCUGGGGCCUUUCAAAAUAAUCGCACUUUGCCAUGCUGGCGGGGGCAAAGUAUCGACCUCCUCACCCCCUUCAUUGAGCCAGAGGAGCGUCAAGAGAUAAUACCAGGGGAGAGUCAGCCCACCCAAAUUUUCCAACAAAUAUGGACUAGGGAAAAGGGUUGAGAUUCUGUGGUCCAAAAAUCAGGCCAUGUAUCA
ensembl:lncRNA